AUUGAACGCUAGCGGGAUGCUUUACACAUGCAAGUCGAACGAGUGGCGGACGGGUGAGUAAUAUAUCGGAACGUGCCCAGUAGCGGGGGAUAACUACUGGAAACGGUAGCUAAUACCGCAUACCAUCGGAUGUGCCCAGAUGGGAUUAGCUAGUAGGUGGGGUAAAGGCUCACCUAGGCGACGAUCCCUAGCUGGUCUGAGAGGAUGACCAGCAAAACUGGAACUGAGACACGGUCCAGACUCCUACGGGAGGAAGCAGUGGGGAAUAUUGCACAAUGGGCGCAAGCCUGAUGCAGCCAUGCCGCGUGUAUGAAGAAGGCCUUCGGGUUGUAAAGUACUUUUGGCAGAGAAGCGGUAUCUGCAGAAUAAGCACCGGCUAACUACGUGCCAGCAGCCGCGGUAAUAC
rnacentral:rRNA from 1 species